GACCUAGCGGCGGACGGGUGACUAAUGCUUAGGAAUCUGCCUAUUAGUGGGGGACAACAUUCCGAAAGGAAUGCUAAUACCGCAUACGAACCCUACGGGGGAGCAAGCAGGAUUGGAUACCUUCGUAGACCUUGCGCUAAUAGAUGAGCCUAAGUGCAGAUGUAGCUAGUUGGUGGUGGUAAAGGCCUACCAAGGCGACGAUCUGUAGCGGGUCUGGAGAGGAUGAUCCGCCACACUGGGACUCAAAUGAAUUGACACGGCCCAGACUCCUACGGGAGGCAGCAUGUGGGGAAUAUUGGAUGCAAUGGGCGAAGAGCCUGAUCCAGCCAUGACCGCGUAAGAACUGUGAAGAAGGCCUUUUGGUUGCUUAAAGCACUUACAUACAGCGAGGAGGAUGGCUGUCGUUAGAUUAAUACUCGUAGGAUAGUGGACGUUAACUCGCAGAAUAAGCACCGGCUAACUCUGUGCCUUAGCAGCCAGCGGUAAUACAGAGGGUGCGAGCGUUAAUCGGAUUUACUGCCGGCGUCAAAGCGUGCGUAGGCGGGGACUUCGUUAAGUCAGGAUGUGAAAUACGACCUGAGCUUAACUUAGGAAUUGCAAUGGUCGAUACAAUGGGAAGCUAGAGUAUGGGAGAGGAUGGUAGAAUUUCAAAAAGCAGGUCGUAGUCCGGAUUGAAAUGUGUAACUAGACUCCAUGGAGUCGGAAUCGCUAGUAACCGAUGGUCAGAAGGCAGCGGUGAAUACGUUCCCUGGCCUAAUACUGACCGCUGAGGCACGAAAGCAUGGGAAUUUGAUGCAAACAGGGAUUUAGAUACCCUGUA
rnacentral:rRNA from 1 species